rnacentral:rRNA from 1 species
AACGAACGCUGGCGGCGUGCCUAACACAUGCAAGUCGUGCGAGAAAGUUCCUUCGGGAGCGAGUAAAGCGGCGCACGGGUGAGUAACACGUAGGUAACCUGCCCCCCAGUCUGGAACAACUAGAGGAAACUCUAGCUAAUGCCGGAUGAGACCACGAUCCCUUCGGGGGUUGCGGCCAAAGAUGGCCUCUACUUGUAAGCUAUCGCUGAGGGAUGGGCCUGCGGGCCAUUAGCUUGUUGGUGAGGUAACGGCUCACCAAGGCUGUGAUGGCUAGCUGGUCUGAGAGGAUGACCAGCCACACUGGGACUGAGACACGGCCCAGACUCCUACGGGAGGCAGCAGUGGGGAAUAUUGCGCAAUGGGCGAAAGCCUGACGCAGCGACGCCGCGUGGGUGAUGAAGGCCUCGGUCGUAAGACCUCGUCGCGAGGGAAGGAAGUAAAGGACAGUACGGUAUAAGUAGCGCCGGUCGCCCGUCGA